rnacentral:rRNA from 1 species
GACAGAGGGUGCAAACGUUGUUCGGAAUUACUGGGCGUAAAGCGCGUGUAGGCUGCUUCGCAAGUCGGAUGUGAAAGCCCUGGGCUCAACCUAGGAAGUGCAUUCGAAACUGCGAAGCUUGAGUCCUGGAGAGGAAGGCGGAAUUCUCGGUGUAGAGGUGAAAUUCGUAGAUAUCGAGAGGAACACCAGUGGCGAAGGCGGCCUUCUGGACAGUGACUGACGCUGAGACGCGAAAGCGUGGGGAGCAAACAGG